rnacentral:hammerhead_ribozyme from 1 species
AUCCGUCUGACGAGUCCCAAAUAGGACGAAAUGCGCGUCUUGGAU